rnacentral:rRNA from 1 species
CCAUACAGCUAACAUCCUGUUGGAUCUCACGAACUCAGCAGGGUUGGCAUAGGUUGCUAUUUGGAUGGGAGACCACUAAGACACACAAUCAGAGGUAUGGG